GUAGGGUGGGCAAGCGUUGUCCGGAAUUAUUGGGCGUAAAGCGCGCGCAGGCGGUCCUUUAAGUCUGAUGUGAAAGCCCACGGCUCAACCGUGGAGGGUCAUUGGAAACGUGGGGGACUUGAGUACAGAAGAGGAAAGCGGAAUUCCAAGUGUAGCGGUGAAAUGCGUAGAGAUUUGGAGGAACACCAGUGGCGAAGGCGGCUUUCUGGUUGUAACUGACGCUGAGGCGCGAAAGCGUGGGGAGCAAACAGGAUUAGAUACCCUGGUAGUCCACGCCGUAAACGAUGAGUGCUAAGUGUUAGGGGGUUUCCGCCCCUUAGUGCUGCAGCUAACGCAUUAAGCACUCCGCCUGGGGAGUACGGCCGCAAGGCUG
rnacentral:rRNA from 1 species